CCUACGGGAGUCAGCAGUGGGGAAUAUUGGACAAUGGGCGAAAGCCUGACCCAGCAACGCCGCGUGAAGGAAGAAGGCUUUCGGGUUGUAAACUUCUUUUGACAGGGAAGAGCAGAAGACGGUACCUGUCGAAUAAGCCACGGCUAACUACUUGCCAGCAGCCGCGGUAAUACGUAGGUGGCAAGCGUUGUCCGGCUUUACUGGGUGUAAAGGGCGUGUAGCCGGGCUGACAAGUCAGAUGUUAAAUGCGGGGGCUCAACCCUCGAACUGCAUUUGAAACUGUUGGUCUUGAGGAUCGGAGAGGCAGGCGGAAUUCCUAGUGUAGCGGUGAAAUGCGUAGAUAUUAGGAGGAACACCAGGGGCGAAGGCGGCUUACUGGACAGUAACUGACGUUGAGGCUCGAAAGCGUGGGGAGCAAACAGGAUUAGAUACCCCUGUAGUC
rnacentral:rRNA from 1 species